rnacentral:rRNA from 1 species
GAUGAACGCUAGCGGCAGGCUUAACACAUGCAAGUCGAGGGGCAGCAUGACACGGAGAUUCGUCGAAGUGUUGAUGGCGACCGGCGCAAGGGUGCGUAACGCGCGAGCAACUUGCCCGUUUCUGGGGGAAUAACCGGUGGAAACGCCGACUAAUACCCCAUAGUAUAACGAAGAGGCAUCUUUUGUAUUAAAGAACUUCGGAAACGGAUAGGCUCGCGUGACAUUAGCUAGAUGGCGGGGUAACGGCCCACCAUGGCGACGAUGUCUAGGGGUUCUGAGAGGAAGGUCCCCCACACUGGAACUGAGACACGGACCAGACUCCUACGGGAGGCAGCAGUGAGGAAUAUUGGUCAAUGGGCGGAGCCUGAACCAGCCAAGUCGCGUGAGGGAAGACGGCCCUACGGUUGUAAACCUCUUAGUCGGGGAGCAAAAAGGAUCACGCGUGGUCCAUUGAGCGUACCCGAAGAAUAAGCAUCGGCUAACUCCGUG